UACGUAGGGGGCAAGCGUUGUCCGGAAUCAUUGGGCGUAAAGAGCGUGUAGGCGGCCCGGUAAGUCCGCUGUGAAAGUCGAGGGCUCAACCCUCGAAUGCCGGCGGAUACUGUCGGGCUAGAGUCCGGAAGAGGCGAGUGGAAUUCCUGGUGUAGCGGUGAAAUGCGCAGAUAUCAGGAGGAACACCGAUGGCGAAGGCAGCUCUCUGGGUCCCUACCGACGCUGGAGUGCGAAAGCAUGGGGAGCGAAUGGG
rnacentral:rRNA from 1 species